AGAAGAUUAGCAUGGCUCUAGCGCGAUUGGAAUGACACAGAGAAGAUUAGUGUGGGCUUGGCGCAAGGAUAACUACGUACAAAUCGAGAAAUGACCCAAAUUAUU
rnacentral:snRNA from 1 species